CUGUUGAACACAGCACAUUCCAUAGCAUGUCAAUACCUGAUGUUCCGAGCACCUUUCAUAAAAUCAGACAAUCUGUUGUACACUGCACAUUUCAUUGCACAGAUAUACCUGACAUAAACCAUUCUGUUGGACUGUCAA